UUUUUUAAAACUUGAUAUAUGCGUUAAUCCUUUCAGUUCAUAUUUGUUAGGGACUGGACAAUUUAUAAAAGGCUUUGUAUGAGUUCGGCUGACAAAUCGCAGAUGUGUUUCUAUUGGUUCGUACUGAAAGAUUCAUGCAUGUGUAUUCCCAAGCUGAUAGACCAGAAGACAAAGAAAAUCAGAAAAGCCGCCUGCCGAUAAAAUAAAACGCCCGUCAAUAAUAAAUUUUCACACGUGCAGAUGUC